CCUACGGGGGGCAGCAGUGAGGAAUAUUGGUCAAUGGACGAGAGUCUGAACCAGCCAAGUAGCGUGAAGGAUGACUGCCCUAUGGGUUGUAAACUUCUUUUAUAUGGGAAUAAAAUGUUCCACGUGUGGGAUUUUGUAUGUACCAUAUGAAUAAGGAUAGGCUAACUCCGUGCCAGCAGCCGCGGUAAUACGGAGGAGCCGAGCGUUAUCCGGAUUUAUUGGGUGUAAAGGGAGCGUAGGUGGAUUGUUAAGUCAGUUGUGAAAGUUUGCGGCUCAACCGUAAAAUUGCAGUUGAAACUGGCAGUCUUGAGUACAGUAGAGGUGGGCGGAAUUCGUGGUGUAGCGGUGAAAUGCUUAGAUAUCACGAAGAACUCCGAUUGCGAAGGCAGUUCACUGGACUGCAACUGACACUGAGGCUCGAAAGUGUGGGUAUCAAACAGGAGUAGAUACCCGUGUAGUC
rnacentral:rRNA from 1 species